CUGGGAGUCUCAGGACUCAUUAAAAGGCUCCCCUUAGGGGCCCACCUGUCCUCCCUAGGGCCUCGCGGGACGCGGCUGCGGUCAGAGGAGCAGGAGGAGGUCCCCCGACAUGCCUGAGGCAAAACCAGCGGCCAAAAAGGCCCCCAAAGGCAAAGAUGCCCCCAAAGGAGCCCCCAAGGAGGCUCCCCCUAAGGAGGCUCCUGCAGAGGCCCUCAAAGAAGCCCCACCCGAGGACCAGUCCCCGACUGCAGAGGAGCCCACUGGCGUUUUCCUGAAGAAGCCGGACUCCGUCUCAGUGGAGACUGGGAAGGACGCAGUGGUCGUGGCCAAGGUGAACGGGAAGGAACUCCCGGACAAACCGACCAUCAAGUGGUUCAAGGGGAAGUGGCUGGAGCUGGGCAGCAAGAGUGGCGCCCGCUUCUCCUUGAAGGAGUCCCACGACUCCGC
rnacentral:lncRNA from 1 species